AAAUAACCAUGCUACCAUGUAAACAGUGUUUUCUUUAUUAUUUACUAUUAAUAAUACAUAUGUUCACAAGACCAUUUGUAAUUUCAGCUUUGCGUAAAAUAUUUGGUGUUUAAAUGUUUUUAUUGUUUCUCAACCUUUAACACUGACUCAUGUGAACAUUAAUGUGUAGAUGUUAACAGUGAAGUAACUUUAAUACUAAUACUAACAAAGUUUCAUUAUUGGUACUAACAUUAAACUAACUGCACACAAACAUUAAACUAACUGUAUGCUAACAUUAAACUUACUUUACCCAAACAUUAACUGUAUGUUAACAUUUAACUAACAUCAAACCAGUCAAAUUUGAACUCACACUGAAGCACUUUAAUGAUUUAAAUCUCAUUAAAACGAUAAUUUCAAUUAUAAAAUUACGUCUUGAAAAAUAUAAUAAAUCCUCUAACCCCCCACUCAUAUACUUAUAUAUUGCUAUUUAACUCCAGUCACUAUACCAUUUUACCGGGGAAUUAAUACAUUUUUAAGCAUUUCUUUUUUAUUUGUUUGUUAUUCUACCUUUUUUAAAUGUCUUCUGUUUCUUUUGAACUCCCUCGACUCAUAUCGAUGUGAACUUUGUGCGUAAAUGUUUCCGACCAUAUUUAAAACAUCAGACAGUGGGAAAACUCUUUUAAUUAUAAUCUGCUUCAAAACUUUCACAUUGAACUAUCUGAAUGUUAAACUGGGCUAAAUCAACUGUUGUGAUAAUUUAAGUGUAAGUAAAAUCAGUGUGAACCAGGAAUUAUACUGACAACCUGAGAGUGAACAAUAAACUCUAGUCCAUCUCUCAGUCUGUCUGUCUGUCUGUCAGUCUGUCAGUCUGUCUGUCUGUCUGUCUGUCUUUCUGUCUGGUUUCCGACAGCAUUCAGCUCUGCAGUAAAAAACUGGAUAUAAAGUGAAGUAAAACAACUGCAAUGCAUUUUACCAUGAAUGAUUGAGUGAUUUCAUGUGGAUGAAUGGGUGGUGCCAGGAUCUCAGUAGUUGCUAUAUGACUGCAGGAGUAUGAGCAAGCAGCCUGUGCAUAGAGUUAGAGUAAGAGGAAGGAUGGCCUAGUGGGAAAAGAGACCGGUCAGUAACCGAACAGAUUCAAUCCCUAACCCCAGUACGAAGAGGAGGGUGUGUACCAGCUGCGAGCUGGGGACUGGUAUCACGUCUAUGGUUCGUACCAUCGCUUUCCUUAACUUGAAUUCAGACUGUGCGUCCAUAGAACAUUUUUGGCCAGCACUCACAUUAUGUGCAUUGCAUUUUCAAUUCAAUUCAAUUCAAUUCGAUUUUAUUUGUAUAGCGCCAAUUCCUAACAGAAGUUUUCUCAGGACACUUUUCAAAUAGAGCAGGUCUAGACCGAACUCGUUCUAACAUUAUUUACAGAGACCAAACAGUUCCCACCAUGAGCAAGCACUUGGCGAUGGGGGCGAGGAAAAACUUCCUUUUAAGAGGCAGAAACCUAGGACAGACCCUGGCUCUAGGUGGGUGGGAGAGAGAGAGAGAGAGCGAGAGAGAGAGAGAGAGAGAGAGAGAGAGAGAGCGAGAGAGAGAACAGAGCUAAUGACAGAAGGAAAGAGACAGACAAAGGUCCACAGCCACAACAGUGGCAACAACUACACUAAUAGUAGUGACUGAUGAUGAUGAACAUGAAGAAGAUGGCAACGACAACGAUGGGGUACAAUGAGCAGUAAUUAUAGUAAUAAUAGUAUCUGUAGUAAUAAUAUCAGUAAUAAUAAUAAUAACACUAAUAUCAGUGAUAUUAGCAAUGGCAGUCAAGCAGGACCAUGGCAGGAGGCUCCACCAGGAUCCAUGAGAACCUGCGAGACGAGAAAGCACAAGAACUCCGGGAAGAAGUGAAGUUAGUAACAUGAAUUAAUGGGACAUGAAUGAGUGCAGGAAGAGAGGAGCUCAGUGCACCAUGGGAAAUCCCCCAAUAGUCUAGGCCUAUAGCAGCCUAACUAAGGGUUGGUCCAGGACUCACCUGAUCUAGCCCUAACUAUAAGCUUUAUCAAAGAGGAACGUCUUAAGCCUACUCUUGAAUGUGGUGAGGGUGUCUGCCUCCCGAACCACAACUGGAAGCUGAUUCCACAGGAGAGGAGCUUGGUAACUGAAGGCUCUUGCUCCUGUUCUACUUUUAGAGACUAUAGGAACCACAGGUAACCCUGCAUUCAGAGAACGUAGUGUUCUAGAGAGGUAAUAGGGUACUAUGAGCUCUUUAAGAUAUGAAGGGGCCUGACCAUGAAGAGCUUUGUAGGUGAGGAGGAGGAUUUUGAAUUCUAUUCUAAAUUUUACAGGGAGCCAGUGCAGAGAAGCUAAUACAGGAGAUAUAUGAAUUUUUUUCCUAGUUCCUGUCAGUACUCGUGCUGCAGCGUUCUGAAUUAAUUGGAGCGCCUUAAUGGACUUAUUGGAGCAACCUGAUAAUAAUUGCAGUAAUCCAGCCCAGAAGUAACAAAUGCAUGGAUUAGUUUUUCUGCAUCCGUCUGUGAUAGGAUGUGUCUAAUUUUUGUAAUAUUAUGUAAAUGAAAGAAGGCAGUCCUAGAGGUUUGCUUUAUGUGGGAAUUAAAGGACAUGUCCUGAUCAAAGAUAACUCCAGAAUUCCUGACAGUGGUGCUAGAGGCCAAGGUAAUGCCAUCUAGAGUAACUAUAUCUUUAGACAGUGAGGUUUUUAUGUCCUUCAGACACGUUUGUAAGUUCUAUAACUUAUGUAAUUUUAAAUUCAGUUUUAUUUGUAUAGCGCCAAUAGAGCAGGUCCAGACCAUACUCCUUAAAACAUUAUUUACAGAGACCCAACAGUUUCCACCAUGAGCAACACCUUGGCGACAGUGGGCCUCAUGCAGGAACAUUUGCUUCUAACUUCAGAUUUAGGACUAUCACCUGAGGGUCGGACUGGUGCUGAAAUCAAGAAGAGCAGGUUUGAUAUGAAAAGGAAGGUGAUGGAUAAGUGCAUACAACUUGUUCUUGCAUUGAAUGAUUGUGUAGCUUUUAACCCAAAGGCUGAAGCCAUCAUGGGUUCAUGCUGCUUCUCCAUUAAAUAUUUACACAGGUUUGCACAGAAAACAGAAACUCAGACUCCUUAAAAUAAUCCAUGUGCAACAAGGACAAUUGAAACACCUCAACUGAAAUCCAAACUUAAAUAAAUUACAGUGUUGAAACUCCAGUGAAGUUUUGAAGAAAACGCAGUAAGUGACCAUUGACAAACGCAGUAAGUGACCACUGAGUGACAAACGCAGUAAGUGACCAUUGAGAGACAAAUGCAGUAAGUGACCAUUGACAAACACAGUAAGUGACCACUGAGUGACAAAUGCAGUAAGUGACCAUUGACAAACACAAUAAGUGACCAUUGUGUGACAAACGCAGUAAGUGACCAUUGAGUGACAAACGCAGUAAGUGACCAUUGAGUGACAAACACAGUUAAGUGACCAUUCAAUGACAAGAGAACAUCGAAUAAAAGGUUUUAGAUAUGUGACGCUCCAUGGGAAAACCAGCAACAAGUCGGCUGGGAGGAAUUCACAUAAACAAAGAAACUAUAGUUUUUUUCAAAAUUUGUGAUUUUCGUUUUUUUUUUACAGAAUGUGCAAGUUGAGAUCAUGAAGAAGCCACUCCAUGUUUCAGAUAACAGUAUUGGUUGCCUUAAAAGUAUACAUUUUGUGUUUGAAAUCGCGUAUAGUUUCAGGAAAGGCUGGCGCUUCGUUGGGCGAUACAGGUAAUUUUCAUACUGGCUACCUGUGACCAUUCACGUGCUUUUGUUAUUUUUUUCGGCCAAUCAGGGGCACGUUAGUAGCGAACCACAUGGCUACUUAUGCAGCCCCCAGCAUAAAUUCUGCUACUAAAUCGUGGCUGUACUUCAGUGAGACGACGGAUACUUCUGGUUAUUCCGACGCCAGUUUCACUUCUGAUUCUGAUGAGUGCACUGACGAUGAAAGCGACUGUAUUACACUGGAGAACAUCCCUAAUCUACAGCUGAUCUUUGCCGAAGAUGAAGACGAGGAAGAAUCUCUCGGCCUCGCACCAGAGGAGCUGGAGCAUAAGAUAUCAGACGCUAUAUCUACGGUAACAUGUGAAGGGGAUAAAGACAGCGAAAUGGAGAAAAUCCGUAACUUUGACUACAAAUGCUAUGGAAGAAGAAAGGAGAACUCUCUCAUUGGGACACAUUCGUGUAGGGACAAACUUUCUCCAGAGCUUAUGUGCAGCCAGACGAAGAGAAAGCGCCCCCGGACCACUUAUUCCAUCGGAGGCAAUGAAGUCUGCAGGAAUACUAUUCAAUUUCUUAUGGGGCAAGAGACAUCACAUGCCCAGCGCCAUGGGUCACAGCACAGAA